rnacentral:lncRNA from 1 species
AGUCCAUGGGUGUGUUCCAGGGACUCUUUCAGUGGUUCUCUGAAUCCCAGCAAAAACUUUUUCCAGGGUCUUCCAGGCCUCCGAGGAGAACCUGGCCCCCCUGGCCCGCCUGGCCUCCCUGGAGCCCAGGGAAAGCCAGGAGAGGAUGGCAAGCCUGGCCUGAAUGGGAAAAAUGGAGAACCUGGGGACCCUGGAGAAGAUGGAAGGAAGGUAAGGCCUCUCGCUUGGAGUCUGGUCUGCCCUCAGCAUAGGGCACAAUCUAAACUAUGCUUGUCUUCCAUAGGGAGAGAAGGGAGACUCGGGCGCCCCUGGGAGAGAAGUGAGUGCUGGAGCCUUCUGCAGCCUGGCCUCUGCUCCUGACUCCGUGAUGUAUGGUUCCACUCCUUCUGGGGUCUCAGGGUCCUGAUCCUGGCUGCAUCCUCCACAGGGUCACGAGGGUCCCAAGGGUGAGCGUGGAGCUCCUGGGAGUCCUGGACUGCAGGGUCCCCCAGGCCUCCCUGGGCAGGUGGGCCCUUCUGGCCAGGUGAGUAUCCAGGAGGGUAGUUCUAGGACUUGGGGGUGUGGGGGGCCGUUAUGUUC